rnacentral:rRNA from 1 species
UGGGGGAUAUUGCACAAUGGACGAAAGCCUGAUGCAGCGACGCCGCGUGGGGGAUGAAGGCUUUCGGGUUGUAAACCUCUUUCGCUAUCGAACAAGGCCCGCUUAGGGUGGGUUGAGGGUAGGUGGAGAAGAAGCGCCGGCUAACUACGUGCCAGCAGCCGCGGUAAUACGUAGGGCGCGAGCGUUGUCCGGAAUUAUUGGGCGUAAAGGGCUUGUAGGCGGCUUGUUGCGCCUGCUGUGAAAACGCGGGGCUUAACUUCGCGCGUGCAGUGGGUACGGGCAGGCUUGAGUGUGGUAGGGGUGACUGGAAUUCCAGGUGUAGCGGUGGAAUGCGCAGAUAUCUGGAGGAACACCGAUGGCGAAGGCAGGUCACUGGGCCAUUACUGACGCUGAGGAGCGAAAGCAUGGGUAGCGAACAGG